AACGAACGCUGGCGGCAUGCCUAACACAUGCAAGUCGAACGAGACCUUCGGGUCUAGUGGCGCACGGGUGCGUAACGCGUGGGAACCUGCCCUUAGGUUCGGAAUAACUCCCCGAAAGGGGUGCUAAUACCGGAUAAUGUCUUCGGACCAAAGAUUUAUCGCCUUUGGAUGGGCCCGCGUUGGAUUAGCUAGUUGGUAGGGUAAAAGCCUACCAAGGCGACGAUCCAUAGCUGGUCUGAGAGGAUGAUCAGCCACACUGGGACUGAGACACGGCCCAGACUCCUACGGGAGGGAGGAGUGGAGAAUAUUGGACAAUGGACGAAAGCCUGAUCCAGCAAUGCCGCGUGAGUGAUGAAGGCCUUAGGGUUGUAAAGCUCUUUUACCCGGGAUGAUAAUGACAGUACCGGGAGAAUAAGCUCCGGCUAACUCCGUG
rnacentral:rRNA from 1 species